CCUCUUUAUUUUUUAUUUUACUUUUGUUUCACGUUAAUUCUGUGUUGUGCUAAUUAACAAACAAACGUCUCAUUUCCAUUUCUCAUUAUCUUACGUUACCCUACCCAGCUGUGUGGUCAUGUAAAUACAAUAUAGUUAAAUAUAUUUUUAAAAAAAAUAACGAAUCUCCACAAUAAAUUGAUUUAAUGAAUCCUCUUUAAGCACAAAAUGGAAAAGAAACACAUUUGUAUAUUUGGAGCAUCACAAUCCUUUUAGGUUUAAACUAACAACGUUUGCACGUUCUCAGUUCUCAGCCUUGGCUGCGGGUUUCUCUUCAUUGGUUUCAGGCUUUGCAUCCUCUGCCUGGGCUUUCUCUUCUUUCGGGGCUUCAGCCUUCACCUCCUUGGCCUCCAAUUGCUCUUCUUCUAUUCUUCAUUCUGUCCAUACAUUAUAUAUUUGAGAAUCUCAUGACAUGAAUAUACAACCCCUCAAAAUGAUCAAAUUAAAAGUAUAUAUAUAUGUAUCCUCUGGAUCAAAUUUUAUAUUGAUCUUUAUCCCUCAGCCUCUAAACACAACAUGCCUGAGGUUAUGUUUAGAGGAUGGAGGAUGGAAUACUUUCCGAAUCAGAUUGGAUCAUGUAUCAACCCUCAUUGCUAAACCCUUAUGCACAUCAUACUUGAGACUAAAAGGUUGUGUAUCCUUAGGAUUGGAUCCUAUAAUCACCCUGAUCAGUCACCCCAUUUUAAUUGAGUAUACCCAUCCUUAUCAGAUCAUCUCCACAAUAAUAAAUAACUCCUCUCAACGAAACCUUUUCCAAUAUAUGUUUGUAUUCUCAAUAAUGAUUACAAAUAUCCUAACAAGUCUUCCUAAUUAAGUAAUUAAAAUUGAUAUGUUUAUAACAAAAUAUAAUACUUAGAAUCAAAUGAUUAUAUAAUAUCAAUGUAAAAUUUUUUAUAUUAUUAAUUAAUUAAAAAUUAUCCCUGAUGUGAUUUUUAAGUUAUUUAUGUAAAAGUUAGCAAAAUUAUUAUAAAUAUUAGUUUGUGAUUAAAUAACAGUAUAAAACUGUUUUAUAUUUUUUUUUAUAUAAUAGAUAUUGGAUUUCAUUAAAUAUUACAUAUUCUUGUCAAUUGCAUUUGAGAAGUGAAUGAGGUUCACAUGGUAAGAUGCUUCCUCAAUCCAGUAUUAGUGUAUAACUUAUGAUUAAUAUGCAUUCACCUUAAUUUUAAUUUUUGUAAAACAAAGAUUAUAUACAUUAAUUCUCUAUCUAAUAUAUGUAACUGGUAGAAUAAAACAAGAAUAAGAGUGUAAAAUGUAACUAAUGUAUAUACCUCAUUGAGCAAGGUGACAAGAGAGUUGUCAGCAGAGGCGACAGGGGUUUCCUCUGUCUUGGCCUCGACGACAUUUUCCUCAGCCUUGUUCUCUUGCUGCUCAACCUUGACCUCCUCGGCGACAGGUUCUGGCACCGGCACAGGCACUGGGGCCUCACCUUCGUUGGUCUUGGGGUAGCUAGCACAGUUGCCCAUGUUUCAAUUUAUUAGAUUAUUAGAUGUGGGAGAACGAACCAAGCAAGGUCUCUUCUUGAUUGAUUGUCCUCCCUAAGGUUAUGAGAGAAACAAGAGAUUAUCGACA
rnacentral:lncRNA from 1 species